CCCAGUUGGAUUUUUAUUAGAAAUCCCAGUCCCAGUUAUUGAAAUCCCAGUCAAUAAAAAACCCUUUAUUUAUCGGUAGAAUAAACAGUUUUAAGACCUUUUAAGCAAGUGGCGGACACUUUAUGAAAUAUUAGGGGGGGCUCGUGCCGAAGGCACGGAAAAUUUUUAAAUUUGAAUCCCGGAAAUGGCAUUUGCAGCAUUCUGAGACACGCAUAAUCAGAAAACUCAGAAUUCCGGGCGCCAGAGUAUGCCUGUUCGCAGGUAGUGCUGUGAAUAAUAUAAUUAACAACAAAAAUCAUGACCAAAGACACCAAAAACGGAUCAAAAUUGUAUUUUAAAAUACUUAAAACGUAGAAAAAUUGGGAAUCGACUCGCAUCACCUCAAUCCCAUUCCCAUUUUUGAGGACUUCAUUUCCCAUUCCCAGUGGCCAAAUCCCAGUCCCAGCAACCCAAAUCCCAUUUUCCCAGUCUAAAAAUAGAUCAAUCCCAGUUCCCAUUUUACCCCUUCAGGACCCUCAAUUAAGAUAAUGAUAUAGUUUAAUGAUAAACCUCAUUAAGCUUCAUUAUCUAUUGUUUGAAUUGCAUUCGACGUGACCGAAAUUCGACGUAUAAAACGGGCCUAUGGGGGACUUGUUUGAUGAACUUUGUCUUUAAAUCCAAUUUUUGACAAAAACAAUUCCAUAUGAAGACAUAAACAAACCGGCAAAAGGCAGCAACCUUAAUCUAAAUCACAGCUUAAUAUGCAAUAGUCCCAGCGACUACAAUCUCGAAACCAGAGCCCGCAAUCCUCUGUGGAGAAAGUCGGGCUCUGAUUGGUUGUUUUUCAACAUCCUCGUCCCCAGGCCCAAGCGGCCCUCAAAGUUUUUCAAGUGCUAAUUAUCAUUCAAACUUUGAGCCGUAUUUAGUUAUUCGGAUUUCAAACAUCUUUAAAAUUAAUAUAAAGUUUAUUUCUCUUUGUGUAUUAUGUUUAAACAUAUCAAUGAAACACACAGCAUAAUUUUAAUAAACUUAUUAAUCUUACCUAGCUUCUCAUAUGAAACCAAUAGACUAUUCUAUUUCUGAUAUUGAUAUGCUAUAAAUAACAAAAUUAGAAUAACAACAGUGCAGCAUUACCAUAUUAGGUCAUGAUAAGCCGUUGCCUAUAAUAUUUAAAAUAACACAACAAUCCAUGAUUUACCGUAAUUAAACAAGUUAAAAUAAAUCACUACCAGUAUCGUACAACAAUUCAAAAUCAUGGCAAGUGUUCUUUGAAGAAUUAAAGUCAAAAAAUUAAAGUUAAACAACUGCAUAAUUCAUGUUUGACGGCAGUAAUGUCUAUUUAUAAAUGUCGAGCGGAGUACUGGAUCCAAAUGUACUGAUUUUCGUGCAAAAGUCGCCGGUGUUUCCCAGAGCUUCAGCAAGCCUCCACAGAGGAUUGCGGGCUCUGGUUUCGAGAUUGCAGCGACUAACGCUCAAUAGAGCGUCUUGUUUGUAACAAAAUUAGGUAACAACCGGAAAUUGGGUUAUAUUAUUAACCAGUUUAUUGGUUGUUUGACCAAAUAAUAUUGGUCGAAAGAAAAUGCAUGCAUCUCUUAAACCAAUUCAAAUUGGUUAUUUUAACCAAUCCGUUUUUACAGUAUUCCCGCGCAUGGUGAGCGACUGGAAACGAGGUACUAAUAAACAAGGGUAGAUUUUGUGCUCGACCAAUCAGCGCAUUUGUUUACAUUUUCGCUCUCAGCUAAUCAUAAUGCAGGAAACGUGAAAUUUACACCAAGGCGAGCUAGAAAAUAUUGCCGUUUUCUCGGGCUUCCGUGAGAUUCAGUUUUAACUUUUUAAAUUUAAAUUGCUAUAUUUUCUCUGCUUUACGUUUUCGUUGGAAAACUCUUUUUUGCUCUUGUUGAGAAUCAUUUUGGUCAAUGUGUUAUUUCAUAACCUAGAAGAUAACGCGUUUAGAGAGUCUGAUUUUCUGCAAAAUCGGUCGGACAAUAUUUUUGUAUUGAUUUCCCGUAUGAUCGCGAGCGUGCGACUAUAUAUUUUUUUAAAUCAAGCUCUAUAAACGCUUUAUCGUCUAGGUUUUGAUAUAAAACAUUGACCAAAACAAUUUGCAACAAGAGCGAAAAAGAGUUUUCCAACAAAAACUUAAAAGCAGAGAAAAUAUAGCAAUUUUUAGUUUUAUUGCAGUCAAAUUAGAUUACUCAAAUUUGUAUACGAUUUGUACACGCGACAUAGGGAAAAAUUUCAAACAUGGAUAUUUUCAGUUCUAGGUCGAAAGUUAAAAAUGCCCAGGGCAAAGUUUUAGAUUUUAAUGUGCUGCAUCAUAAUCUUUUGGUUUUAAAUUAAAAAAGAUAAAAUUCAAUCUCACGCGGAAGCCCGAGAAGACGGCAAUAUUUUCUAGCUCGCCUUGUUAAUUUCUCGUUUCCUGCAUUAUGAUUUGCUGAGAGUGAAAAUGUAAACAAAUACGCUGAUUGGUCGAGCACGAAAUCUGCCCUUGUUGGUACUAUUGAAUGCUAUAAUUCAAUCGUAUUUUAUGCAUGUCAUAUACAUGGGAAAAUGAAAGUGCAUGGUUAUAUGUUCAAAGCUUGUAAGACUUGUAAGUCAUGAUUAAAUUUCUACACUGUCACAUACUUUGAUCAAAGCGUACAUUGAUGAAACCAUAUUUGAUCAACUGAAACUUUGAUGAUAUCUAUAUUUGAUCAAUUGAAACUUUGAUGAUAUCUAUAUUUGAUCAACUGAAACUUUGAUGAUAUCUAUAUUUGAUCAACUGAAACUUUGAUGAUAUAAGAAGCCAUCCUAACCUGUUAUUAUUAUUUCACAUCUCUUUACAUGGUAACUAAUCAACCUAACUAUUACUAAAUAUAUUAUAAGGGUUGCUUUUCAUUAGGCCGUGUGUCAGUAAAUAUAAAAGUUAUUUACAAUAUUAAAAAAUAAACAAAACACAAAGAGAAAAAAAAAUAAGAAAAAUAAAGUUACAUUCACACUACUUUAUUCCUUUCAUUCCAAAUUCUUAUCUUCCAAAUAUGGAAAUCCUAUACUUCUCAUUUCGUACAAGAAACACAAAUAAAUCUCGCAUCUCAGCACAGUACAGUGCUAAAAAGCGCGGGAACUGGAAGCGAACCGUGCAUAAUUUAUGCAAAUUAUCGCACCACAAUAAUAACCGUAGGAGACCUUGGUGAGAAAUACUCUAUAUGCCUUGAAAACGCAAAAAAAUAAAAAGGGAU